CAAAAAUCAAAGUUUUUUGAACUAUGUUGUGUUAUAAUAUCAAAUGAAAGAGCUUUUUAUAACUAUCUAUAAAAAAAAAUGUGUCAAGUAAUUUAAGAAAAUAGGCGAAAAAUGACCACUAAUGAAAUUAUCCAAUCAAACUCAAAUAACAUGAUCAAAGUGUAAGAUUUUAAGAAAAGUAAUCAUAUAAGGUCUGUAUAGUUAAAUUGUGACACAUAUACAUACGGGUUUUUUAAUUUCUUCUCAUAAAAUUAAUUUACCUAUCCAUACUAUAAAAAGGUGACUUGGUCAGUAAAAUGGUGACUUUUAGGGAAACGAAAUGUGACUUGUGAGUCCAGGGCCCUGGCAACACUGCUUCCUUUCAUUUUCCUUUUCGGCCCAUGCGCUGAAUGGUGGCUUGGUGGCGUCGCUUGCACCGGCACCGGUGUAUUUUCUUUGGUGAUGUGAGCAAUUAGUAAAGCAAGGGAAAUUUCUCGUAUUUGGCGUCAACAUUCAGUGAUCAGUGUGUGAUACAUGACAAUAACCUCUAACAAUACAAUAGUGUGGGUCUACACAGCGAGGCACGUCCCUUAUUUUCUGUGUAGCGGCAUGUAUAGCGUCGUUGAGUUUGCUGAAGAAUGGCUGACACCCGGGAAGCAGCGAUGUCUGUGGCCGCCCCAAAAAUUGAUGACCAAGUUUGCAGCCAAGU